AAGUGAAUCCUUUCAAGCGGCAUAUUUCAUUCGCGCCUGUAUCUUGCUGAACCGUUACCGAUAUGGCACAGAAUCCGGUUGAGCAAAAUUUCAGGUGUGUGAGAAAUUUGUUAAGCAAUCUUCAAAAGAUAG
rnacentral:pre_miRNA from 15 species